AUGCUCAAAAUGGUACAAAAUUGCAGCUUCUGUAAUGCAAAAAAAUUUAUGUAUGAAUCGAAGGGGUUAUGCUGCAAUAAAGGACAGAUAAGACUAGCCAAUCCAGAUACACCAUCUGAACUCGUGAGACUUUGGACAAGCAACGACUCUAAUUCAAGACAUUUUCGAAACAACAUAAGAUUUUUCAAUGGACACUUCUCAUUUACUAGUCUAUACUGCCAUCUUGAUAGAGACACAACUGACAUGCGAACAACUGGUAUUUACACCUUUCGAGCUCAUGGUCAGAUCUAUCGCAAUAUACACUCAUUUGGUGAUAUUAGGUCAAAUCCAAAGCAUCUGGAGCUAUACUUCUACGAUGAUGAUCCAAACUUAGAGCAUCGAUACCGCCAUUGUCGCGAGGAAAUGUACAAGCAAGACAAGCAUGUGAUCAGAAUAAUAACGGACAUUCUACGCGAUAACCCAUACUCUCAUCAGUUUAGGAGUUUGGGACAAGUCCAAAACCUUCAGGACUACAGAGUCAUCUUGAACCUUGACCAAAGAUUGGACCAAAGAACAUACAGUGCACCCGUCACUUCAGAGGUAGCUUCAGUGUCGGUUGAAGGAAAUGAAAAAAGAAAUACUUAUGACAAGAAUGUAAUACUACUACAUGGGAAUAACAACGAAACCAAGCACAUUAGAUCAUAUUAUGGGUGCUAUGAUCCAUUGUCGUAUCCUCUAUUCUUUCCAAGAGCUGAACUGGGUUGGCAUAGGAAAAUCCCAAAGAAGGAUGCACCCGAGGAAGAUGUUGGUGCUAAUAAUAUCAACAAUGACGAUGACACAUAUCCAGUGAAUGGCCUCUGGGUAACCAUGAGAGAAUACUACUGUUAUAAAUUCCAUACACGACCAAACAUAUUCAACCCAAUAUUGCACGGCGGACGGCUUUUCCAACAGUUUGCUGUAGAUACAUAUAUCAAGAUUGAAAACUCCAGACUAGAUUACCUAUGGCAUCAUCAAAAGGAAAUAAGGGCAGAUCUAUACCAAGACCUUGUAGACAAUAUUCAAGCUGGAGAACAAAAGGGAAAUGCAGUUGGAAAACGGGCAGUACUUGCCUCGUCAUUUAUUGGAGGGCCACGAGAUAAACUUCGCCGGUAUCAAGAUGCUAUGGCUUUAGUUAGAAAAUAUGGAAAGCCAGACAUAUUCCUCUCAAUGACCUGCAACCCCAGAUGGGAAGAGAUCACACGUGAACUACAAUCUGGACAAACACCACAAGAUCGCCUAGAUAUUGUCGUUCGUGUUUUCAGGGCGAAGUUGGAAGAAAUGAAAAAGCAACUAUUUGAGAAGACCAUUCUUGGAAAGGUUAAGGCAUAUACAUAUGUCAUAGAGUUCCAAAAGUGGGCAUUACCCCAUGCUCAUUUUUGGCUCACCAUGACCAGAAAAUACAAGUACACAUGUCCGGAACAGUAUGACAGAAUCAUCUCUGCCGAGCUCCCUAACAAGCACAAGUACCCAGACCUAUACAAAAUGGUAAUCAAACAUAUGAUACAUGGUCCUUGUGGUGCAUUGAAUAAAAAAUUUCCAUGCACAAAAAAUCGUCUAUCAUGCAAGAAUAAUUAUCCAAGGCCAUUUAGUGAAACUACAAUUCAAGGCAAGGACUGCUACCCGCUCUAUAGGAGACGCAAUAACGGCAGUACCGAAAUUGUCCGAAAUAGGAAACUCGACAAUAGGUGGGUGGUUCCUUACAAUCCCUAUCUAUUAAGGAUGCUCAACUGCCACAUAAAUGUUGAGAUAUGUUCAAGCAUUAAAGCCGUUAAGUACCUAUUCAAGUUCAUGUACAAGGGUCAUGAUCGAGCAUUAGUAACUGACAAAGUAGACGAAGUGGAAAUUGACGAGAUUCGACAAUACAGAGACGCACGGUGGGUGACACCUACAGAAGCAUUGUGGAGAAUAUAUGGCUUCGAACUAAGCAAAAUACACCCAUCAGUAUUGCAGUUGCACCUACAUCUCCCAAAUAUGCACAUGGUUUCAUAUCAUGGCAAGGAAAAAAUAAAAAAUAUUAUCGACCGUGAUGGCACCAAAAAAUCAAUGUUGACAACAUACUUUGAAGCAAACAACUUACAUGUGAAAGCACGAGGCAUACUAUACAGGGACUUUCCGGAAUAUUAUACUUGGCAAAGACGAGGGAAGUUUUGGCAAGAGAGGAAACGAGCCGCUCUGUCCCAGGUUGGCAGGAUCAUCUCAGCACACCCGGCUGAAGGAGAACGAUACUAUCUUCGGGUUCUCCUAAACCAUGUGACAGGCGCCACCAGCUAUGAAGGCCUACGAACAAUUGAUGGACAAGUAAUGCCAACCUUCCGUGAAGCUGCAAAAAAAAGGGGGCUCAUUGAGAUUGACAAACAACAUGGCACAACAAAUGAUGUACCUAAGGAGAUCAUA
rnacentral:rRNA from 1 species